UUCAGAAACUUAAUAAUAAACUUUUUGCAUUUUGGUUGUGGGAGCUGCAUGAAAUAAUUGAUGAAAUAGUGAAGCGUAUUUUCUCUGCUGCAGUCGCUUCGGGCAAAUCAGUUUUUACGCCGGUUGUGUGGUCUGAAUGGACUGAUGCAGAGCGAGGGAGAGAAUCAUCUUUCCAUCGCGACUUCGCUUCCAUAUUUGGUGUUGGGUUAGGGAGUGAUAAAAAGAAGUGGAGUUAAAAAUAAUUCCAUGUAGUGUCUAAAAAUAUAGACAGGAAACGUAGCUGAAGUUUUUCAAUGUAGGUCAGUCCUCAAUGUUGGUAUUAACUGUCUGGUCCGGAAGCCGACUGUUGCGCUAACGUGGAUUUGGUCAGAAUAUGGUUUAAUUACACAUACAUACUGUUCUUCUGAGUACGUCUGAGCACGGUCUGAGUUCCAACUACAAUAUUAACCUAAUCUACUUGGAAGAGUGUCAUAGGCAAUUAUUCCAGUGUUAAAGGUUUCAGCUAUAAUACUAACUUAAUCUACUUGGAAGAGUGUCAUACAGCCAUUAAUUUAGUGUUAAAGGUCAAAAUCAAUUUGUUUCUUUCACCUUUCAUCUAACAUGGCAAAUUGUGGCUGGUUGUGGAGUAUCGUGUGGUUGAUAAUCUUGCUAGUGAUUGGUUGGCCGAUCGGCAUUCUGUGCGGUCUGCUUUACGGAUUUUUGUGUGCCUUCCCACCUUGUUGUGUCGGGUGCCAAGACCUUGCGAACUUCAUUCAUAGAGGUGUAGAGCUGCCACGCACGUGUGCGCAAAACAUGGUCGCCCAGAAAUCUGGUUGUUAGGUAUUGCAAAUGCAAUCGCCAUCACCAUCAUUGCAGCAUCCAUGGAUUCGUAGUUGCUAAGUAACAGAACUAUCAUCAGACACAACUCUUUAUACUUUUCACAUACGAGUUUACAGGCUUAUGAGUGAUUUGUCAUCAUGGCAAAAAUCUUCAAAUUUUGAGAUGGCCAUAACCUGUAUUUGUGCUUUUACUGGGCUUAC